CUUCUGAAUACAAUUUUGAGCCUCGUGAGUUAUAGUCAGUGGAAUCAUUGACAUCUAUCUGAACCUGGGUCGAGGGUCGAGAGGAGAUCUUCUUUGCCGUGUUGCCUAGAGACGGCCGCUCGUUCUCAAUGGACCUCUUCACUCAAGAGAGUACUGAGGUUGCUGAACAAGUCCAACAAGAUAUGCUUGAGUUCAGGCACUGGCUGAAAGGGUGAGGAUCUGUCAGGAGAGACUGGAGAAGCAGGAACAAGCACUCGAGGAUGCCCCUGAGGAGUUCAUUGAUCCACUGACACAAGAACUGAUGAGUGAUCCAGUUACACUCCCCAUGUCAGGUUAUGUCAUGGACCGAUCAUCCAUCAUCAGGCACUUACUGAGUGAUCUAGCUGUCGGACCUGUUCAACAGAGCUCCACUGACAGCUGACAUGUUAGUACAACCAAACAAUGAAAAACAAUGAACUGAAGCAAAGCAUUGAAAACAGGACACAUCAGAAACUUGCUAAGACUUCAAGAGUGACUGUGUAUGUGUAGUAUAUUGUGUACUCUCAAUUGUGACUGUACUGUCUUCUGUAAAUUUCUGAUAAAUGUCAGGCUGAUAUUAA